CAUCUCUAAGCAGAAGUCAGUAUAGAAGUGUACACAUCUAAGUAAUUUUAAAUGCAGUUAAAUUCUAUCACAAAAACUAGGUGGUGUCCCCUAUCAUAUUUUCUUAUUAUAACCACUUGAAGUUGUGGGAUUUUAAGAUGACUUAGAGCCAGGGAAGACUAUUUUCUUUUGUUAUUAUUGGUAUCUCUUCAGUCUGUUGACAACUAAGGAAAGCAAAAAAGUUUGCUGAUCUCUGCUCUAGAAUAUCAAGGUGUGAGAAUAAGUUUGGGCAACUGGGAAGAUAAUUAAUUGAAGCCUCAUGAAGAUUGUGUUGAGAAUCAAGAACACCUGUGGCAGUACAACUUAGAUGACAGUAGACCAUAUAUGUCAGCAUGACUUAGUUGUUUUUUUACUGAAAAACUUUGCCCAGAAAAGCCAAGGCUAUAAGCCAAUAAAUAACUUUAUGGUUUACUUCAGAAAAUUCCCUUAGAACAAUUUAUCAAAGACAAUGGCCUGCUCACCUGGACAAACAGUUUACUCAUCAAUGAUGGUUUACUUAGCAAGACUCGCUUCAAGACUGGACUUCUCUGUGAUAGGCAAUCCUGAAAGAUUAUAACACAAUCUCUGUUAAAUUCCAUUCCAUUCACCACUUUGAAAGGCCUACUUAAACUACUCGA